rnacentral:rRNA from 1 species
CAAUAGCGUAUAUUAAAGUUGUUGCAGUUAAAAAGCUCGUAGUUGGAUUUCUGGUGGGAGCGAUCGGUCUGGCGCUUAGCGCGAGUGCUUGCAUCGUCUCCGGCCAUCCUUGGGGAGAGUCUGUCUGGCAUUAGGUUGUCGGGCAGAGGAUCCUCAUCGUUUACUGUGAAAAAAUUAGAGUGUUCAAAGCAGGCUUAUGCCGUUGAAUAUGUUAGCAUGGAAUAAUAAGAUAGGACUUUGGUACUAUUUUGUUGGUUUGCGCACCAAAGUAAUGAUUAAUAGGGACAGUUGGGGGUAUUCGUAUUCCGUUGUCAGAGGUGAAAUUCUUGGAUUUACGGAAGACGAACUACUGCGAAAGCAUUUACCAAGGAUGUUUUCAUUAA